rnacentral:tRNA from 1 species
ACCUGAGUGGCUCAGUUGGUUAAGCAUCUGACUUCAGCUCAGGUCAUGAUCUCGUGAUCUGUGGGUUCAAGCCCCAUGUUGGGCU